GAUGAAGAACGUAGCGAAAUGCGAUACGUAAUGUGAAUUGCAGAAUUCAGUGAAUCAUCGAAUCUUUGAACGCACCUUGCGCUCCUUGGUAUUCCGAGGAGCAUGCCUGUUUGAGUGUCAUUAAAUUCUCAACCUCACCUGGUUUCUGACUUGUGUGAUGGCUUGGAUUUGGGAGUUGUGCAGGCUGUAGUUAUCUGCGGCUCUGCUCUCCUUAAAUGUAUUAGCAGGUCUUUUACCUCUAUCCCAACAGUGUGAUAAUCUAUCUACGCUGCUGGUUUGGAGACCCACUUGUAGGGGACUGGCUUCUAAUCGUCUGCAAAGACAACUUGACAUUCUUGACCUCAAAUCAGGUAGGACUACCCGCUGAACUUAAGCAUAUCAAUAAGCGGAGGA
rnacentral:misc_RNA from 1 species